AUUGAACGCUGGCGGCAUGCCUUACACAUGCAAGUCGAACGGCAGCACGGGUGCUUGCACCUGGCGGCGAGUGGCGAACGGGUGAGUAAUACAUCGGCACGUACCUUAUCGUGGGGGAUAACGCAGCGAAAGCUGUGCUAAUACCGCAUACGCCCUGAGGGGGAAAGCGGGGGAUCGCAAGACCUCGCGCGAUUAGAGCGGCCGAUGCCUGAUUAGCUUGUUGGUGGGGUAAAAGCCCACCAAGGCGACGAUCAGUAGCUGGUCUGAGAGGACGAUCAGCCACACUGGGACUGAGACACGGCCCAGACUCCUACGGGAGGCAGCAGUGGGGAAUUUUGGACAAUGGGGGCAACCCUGAUCCAGCAAUGCCGCGUGAGUGAAGAAGGCCUUCGGGUUGUAAAGCUCUUUUGUCAGGGAAGAAACACCGGCUCUAACACAGUCCGGGAAUGACGGUACCCGAAGAAUAAGCACCGGCUAACUACGUGCCAGCCGCCGCGGUAA
rnacentral:rRNA from 1 species